UAUGGAACAUUCCACCUGAUUGGUAGCUUAGCAGGUAGAGUAUGGAACAUUCCACCUGAUUGGUAGCUUAGCAGGUAGAGUAUGGAACAUUCCACCUGAUUGGUAGCUUAGCAGGUAGAGUAUGGAACAUUCCACCUGAUUGGUAGCUUAGCAGGUAGAGUAUGGAACAUUCCACCUGAUUGGUAGCUUAGCAGGUAGAGUAUGGAACAUUCCACCUGAUUGGUAGCUUAGCAGGUAGAGUAUGGAACAUUCCACCUGAUUGGUAGCUUAGCAGGUAGAGUAUGGAACAUUCCACCUGAUUGGUAGCUUAGCAGGUAGAGUAUGGAACAUUCCACCUGAUUGGUAGCUUAGCAGGUAGAGUAUGGAACAUUCCACCUGAUUGGUAGCUUAGCAGGUAGAGUAUGGAACAUUCCACCUGAUUGGUAGCUUAGCAGGUAGAGUAUGGAACAUUCCACCUGAUUGGUAGCUUAGCAGGUAGAGUAUGGAACAUUCCACCUGAUUGGUAGCUUAGCAGGUAGAGUAUGGAACAUUCCACCUGAUUGGUAGCUUAGCAGGUAGAGUAUGGAACAUUCCACCUGAUUGGUAGCUUAGCAGGUAGAGUAUGGAACAUUCCACCUGAUUGGUAGCUUAGCAGGUAGAGUAUGGAACAUUCCACCUGAU